rnacentral:rRNA from 1 species
AGAACGAACGCUGGCGGCAUGCCUAACACAUGCAAGUCGAACGCUUGUAGCAAUACAAGAGUGGCGCACGGGUGAGUAACGCGUGGGAACCUGCCCUGGAGUGGGGGAUAACCGAGGGAAACUUCGGCUAAUACCGCAUACGACCUGAGGGUGAAAGAUUUAUCGCUCUAGGAGGGGCCCGCGUCGGAUUAGCUAGUUGGUGGGGUAACGGCCUACCAAGGCUACGAUCCGUAGCUGGUCUGAGAGGAUGGCCAGCCACACUGGGACUGAGACACGGCCCAGACUCCUACGGGAGGCAGCAGUGGGGAAUAUUGGACAAUGGGGGCAACCCUGAUCCAGCAAUGCCGCGUGAGUGAUGAAGGCCUUAGGGUUGUAAAGCUCUUUCGGCGGGGACGAUGAUGACGGUACCCGCAGAAGAAGCCCCGGCUAACUUCGUGCCAGCAGCCGC